rnacentral:rRNA from 1 species
GACGAACGCUGGCGGCGUGCUUAACACAUGCAAGUCGAACGGUGAAGCGCCUUCCUUUUUGGUGGGUGUGGAUGAGUGGCGAACGGGUGAGUAACACGUGAGUAACCUGCCCCCUUCUUCUGGAUAACCGCAUGAAAGUGUGGCUAAUACGGGAUAUUCUGGUUCUGUCGCAUGAUGGGUCUGGGAAAGAUAUUGUUUCGGUGGGGGAUGGGCUCGCGGCCUAUCAGCUUGUUGGUGGGGUGAUGGCCUACCAAGGCGGUGACGGGUAGCCGGCCUGGGAGGGUGGACGGUCACACUGGGACUGAGACACGGCCCAGACUCCUACGGGAGGCAGCAGUGGGGAAUAUUGCACAAUGGGCGCAAGCCUGAUGCAGCGACGCCGCGUGAGGGAUGGAGGCCGUCGGGUUGUGAACCUCUUUCGCCAGUGAAGCAGGCCUGCCUCGUUUGUGGGUGGGUUGACGGUAGCUGGAGAAGAAGCGCCGGCUAACUACGUG